rnacentral:tRNA from 1 species
AGCCCCGUAGUCUAGCGGUCAAGGACAACUGGCUCUGAACCAGUGAACUCAGGUUCGAAUCCUGGCGGGGCUA